AAGAGCAAUGAUGGCACGUUGAAUGCUCCAGUUCCCUAUUGACCACUGAAGUUAAGCAACGUUUCGCAUGGUCGUUUUCCGGAUGGGUGACCAUCUAGACUUCUAGACAAUCGCGCGAU
rnacentral:rRNA from 1 species